UACGGAGGGUGCAAGCGUUAUCCGGAUUUAUUGGGUUUAAAGGGUCCGUAGGCGGUUUAAUAAGUCAGUGGUGAAAUUUCUGGGCUCAACCGAGAACUUGCCAUUGAUACUGUUAGUCUAGAAUAUAUUUGAAGUAGGCGGAAUGUAGUAUGUAGCGGUGAUAUGCUUAGAUAUACUACAGAACACCGAUAGCGUAGGCAGCUUACUAAGAUAUUAUUGACGCUGAGGGACGAGAGCAUGGGGAUCAAACAGG
rnacentral:rRNA from 1 species